rnacentral:rRNA from 1 species
CCUACGGGGGGCUGCAGUGGGGAAUAUUGGACAAUGGGGGGAACCCUGAUCCAGCCAUGCCGCGUGUGUGAAGAAGGCCCUCGGGUUGUAAAGCACUUUCAGUGAGGAAGAACGCCUGGUGGUUAAUACCCAUCAGGAAAGACAUCACUCACAGAAGAAGCACCGGCUAACUCCGUGCCAGCAGCCGCGGUAAUACGGAGGGUGCGAGCGUUAAUCGGAAUUACUGGGCGUAAAGCGCGCGUAGGUGGCUUGAUAAGCCGGUUGUGAAAGCCCCGGGCUCAACCUGGGAACGGCAUCCGGAACUGUCAAGCUAGAGUGCAGGAGAGGAAGGUAGAAUUCCUGGUGUAGCGGUGAAAUGCGUAGAGAUCGGGAGGAAUACCAGUGGCGAAGGCGGCCUUCUGGACUGACACUGACACUGAGGUGCGAAAGCGUGGGUAGCAAACAGGAUUAGAUACCCGUGUAGUC